UAACACGUGGGUAAUCUACCCUUUGGAUUGGAAUAACCUGUCGAAAGACGGGCUAAUGCCAAGUAAGCUCUCUUGAACGUAAAGUUCGAGCGAGGAAAGAUGGUGCAAGCUAUCGCCGAUGGAUGAGCCUGCGUCCCAUUAGCUAGUUGGUGAGGUAAAAGCUCACCAAGGCUGUGAUGGGUACCUGGUCUGAGAGGAUGACCAGGCACACUGGAACUGAAACACGGUCCAGACUCCUACGGGAGGCAGCAGUAGGGAAUAUUGCGCAAUGGGGGAAACCCUGACGCAGCCACGCCGCGUGAGUGAGGAAGGCCUUCGGGUUGUAAAGCUCUGUCACCUGGGAAAAACGACUAUCUGGGGAAAGUUCAGGUAGUGUGAUGGUACCAGGGGAGGAAGCACCGGCAAACUCUGUGCCAGCAGCCGCGGUAAUACAGAGGGUGCAAGCGUUGUUCGGAUUUACUGGGCGUAAAGCGUGCGUAGGCGGUAUUGAGAGUCGCGGGUGAAAUCCCAGGGCUUAACCCUGGAACUGCCUGCGAGACCUCAGUACUAGAGUGUGAGAGGGGAUGGUGGAAUACCCAGUGUAGCGGUGAAAUGCGUAGAGAUUGGGUAGAACACCGGUGGCGAAGGCGACCAUCUGGCUCACAACUGACGCUCAGGCACGAAAGCGUGGGGAGCAAACAGGAUUAGAUACCCUGGUAGU
rnacentral:rRNA from 1 species